ACUGGAUAUGUUGUUGCCCUUACA
rnacentral:piRNA from 1 species